CCUACGGGGUGCAGCAGUGAGGAAUAUUGGUCAAUGGACGAGAGUCUGAACCAGCCAAGUAGCGUGAAGGAUGACUGCCCUAUUGGUUGUAAACUUCUUUUAUAUGGGAAUAAACUGUUCCACGUGUGGGAUUUUGUAUGUACCAUAUGAAUAAGGAUCGGCUAACUCCGUGCCAGCAGCCGCGGUAAUACGGAGGAUCCGAGCGUUAUCCGGAUUUAUUGGGUUUAAAGGGAGCGUAGGUGGAUUGUUAAGUCAGUUGUGAAAGUUUGCGGCUCAACCGUAAAAUUGCAGUUGAAACUGGCAGUCUUGAGUACAGUAGAGGUGGGCGGAAUUCGUGGUGUAGCGGUGAAAUGCUUAGAUAUCACGAAGAACUCCGAUUGCGAAGGCAGUUCACUGGACUGCAACUGACACUGAGGCUCGAAAGUGUGGGUAUCAAACAGGAUUAGAUACCCCAGUAGUC
rnacentral:rRNA from 1 species